GACGAACCGAGCGAACGUUGUUCGGAAUCACUGGGCUUAAAGGGCGCGUAGGCGGGCUGUCAAGUCUGGGGUGAAAUCCCGCGGCUCAACCGUGGAACUGCCUUAGAUACUGACGGCCUCGAGGGAGGUAGGGGCAUGCGGAACUGAUGGUGGAGCGGUGAAAUGCGUUGAUAUCAUCAGGAACUCCGGUGGCGAAGGCGGCGUGCUGGACCUUUUCUGACGCUGAGGCGCGAAAGCCAGGGGAGCAAACGGG
rnacentral:rRNA from 1 species